GAACAUAGAGUUGAGGUUUAGCCAGUAGUAUGUAACCGGCUUUUCAGUGGCCUUAAGCACAAUGAACAUUCUCAUUCUCCCAGCUAGUCCUGGCAUGAUGCAUUUUACACAGAUGUGUAAAGUGUGCUUAAAACUUUAUAUACUCUCAGUUAGUAAUUAGAGCAUCCCAGUGUGGGCAGUGUGGUUUCUGGCUAAAUUAUUUCGUCUGGACUUGGACUUAUCUGAUGUAUGGAUGAUUCAAACACAAUUUUUUUUUUUCUGUGAGUAUAUGCCCACAUAUCUAACACAGCUCAACAUUAUGACACAGUUCUCUUUUAGACUUCCAUUUAAUUACGUUAUAUGGUAUUUGUGUCACGCUGUCAGUCUCUGUUUUCCUGGGUGUCCACUAGUGUGCUCACUUCUGGAGGGGGAGGUCGCUCCGGAGUGUGUAGUCAAGAAUAGGUCCGGCAGCGAUCUCCACUGUGGUCUCCCGUUGACCCGGGGGUUCGGAUGGGAGCCGCCAUUUCCCCAUUAUGGACAGAGAGGGGAGAGGAGACGCAAAUCGGCUGAGCCAGCGCCGCUGUGCAAGAUGGCCACCAGUCCAGCGUCGCUGCACAAAAUGGCCGCCAACCCAGUGGCGCUGCGCAGCAUGGCCGCCAACCCAGCACCACGAGGCAAGAUGGAAGCCAGCCCCACACCACAGCACAAGAUGGCCGCCAGCUCAGCGCCACGAGGCAAGAUGGCCAUCAGUCCAGCUCCACAGCACAAGAUGGCUGCCAACCCAGUGCCAAGAGGCAAGAUGGAUGCCAGCACAGCGCCAAAGCACAAAGUGGCCACCAGUCCAGCGCCACAGUGCAAGAUGGCCGCCAGCUCAGCGCCAAUGCACAAGAUGGCCGCCAGUCCAGCGCCACAGCACAAGAUGGCUGCCAAUCCAGCGCCAGGAGGCAAGAUGAAUGCCAGCAUAGCGCUACAGCACAAAGUGGCCACCAGUCCAGCGCCACAGUGCAAGAUGGCCGCCAGCUCACCGCCAACGCCCAAGAUGGCAGCAGAGACAUUUU
rnacentral:lncRNA from 1 species